CAUUCAGCCGAAUGGGAGGAACGGAGGAGGAUCGGAGGAGGAGAACUCCCCGCCCAGCGCUGGAAAAAGGUAAGUUUUUACCCCUUUUCUCUCCCCAGAGCCGGGCGGGAGGGGGACCCUGAGGGUGGGGGCACCCUCAGGGCACUAUAGUGGUAUGUUUUCCUGGCACUAUAGUGGUCCUUUAAGAGGGAAAGACAUUAAAAAGGGAUAAGAAACACAAAAGAGGAUUUAAGAGACAAGUAAUUUUUUUGUGGGGGCGGGGCAGCAAAAUUUGUCUUCACAUUGCCAAAAAUCCUUGCACCUGCCCCUUGUUUAGUAGAUAGCUCCAUAACUGGAUUUACUUAAAAAAGCAACCCCCCAUAAGGGUACCAAAUUAAACAGCUGAAAGGCCAGAAUUAAUGAAACGGCUGUGAUGUCUCAGUUAUUUAGAAGAUAGUUCCCUUGUGAUGGAUGGCCGGAACCCCUGAUAUGUUUUGCACAAGUUUGCAGUGCCAUUUUAUGACUGUUUUCAAUGUAAUUAGGCAUCAAUGUAUUGAGUACCUGUAUUAUACAUGGAGCAGAAUGUGUGUCUCUAUAUGCAGCUGUGGGCAGAAGCAGACUAGAAACCACGGGGCCCCAGUGCGAAAAUUUCCCUGGGCCCCCCCUGUACGUCAACCCCUCCCACCACCCUCCUUCCAUCAAGUCUUUUGUCCCCCUCCCAUACGUUAACCCCUCUUCCCACACAUGUAGACACACACACACCUUUACUUGGGGUCCAGUGGUGGCUCAGGCUAAUGGGAGUCAGAGUUCCCACUUGUCACGUAUUCAUCCGCUUAUAGAAAUGUGGUUAAUGACAUUUACUGUCCACACAGGAAAAGUUGUGCCGAGCAGCAACCUAAUCCACAGAAGGGUUAAUGCUGAGCAGUAAUUGUGCAAAUGAAACCUGGUGUCAGGUAUUCAUCCACUUAUAGAAAAGUGGUUAAUGACAUUUACUGUCCACACAGGAAAAGUUGUGCCGAGCAGCAACCUAGUCCACAGAAGAGUUAAUGCUGAGCAGCAAUUAUGUAAAUGAAACCUCCUAGCAACUCCUUAUCACCAUCCCUACAGUUUGAUGGCAAUAUCCAGGAAUGCAGGGGUUUUCUUAAUCAGGUGGAGUACCAUAUUGAGGCCUCACCAGGGUCAUUCCCCACGGACAGAGCAAGAAUUGGUUAUCUAAUGAAUCAAUUAAAGUGCAAGGCCCUUGCCUGGGCUAAUCCGUUGUGGGAGAGUAAUCGGAGCAUAGCUCAUAAUUACCAGGAAUUCCUUGCCGAAUUCAAGCUCACGUUUGAGCCAUUGGGUAGAGAGGAUGACGGUAUCUCGGAUUAUGCUAUUGAAUUCCGUACCUUAGCUUCCGAGGUAGACUGGACUAACAAUGGGUUAAUCUCAGCAUUCAAAAAGGGUCUCUCAGAGACUAUACUAGAUGAGAUAGCCGCUAAA